GGCGAACGGGUGAGUAACACGUGGACAACCUGCCUCAAGGCUGGGGAUAACAUUUGGAAACAGAUGCUAAUACCGAAUAAAACUUAGUGUCGCAUGACACAAAGUUAAAAGGCGCUUCGGCGUCACCUAGAGAUGGAUCCGCGGUGCAUUAGUUAGUUGGUGGGGUAAAGGCCUACCAAGACAAUGAUGCAUAGCCGAGUUGAGAGACUGAUCGGCCACAUUGGGACUGAGACACGGCCCAAACUCCUACGGGAGGCUGCAGUAGGGAAUCUUCCACAAUGGGCGAAAGCCUGAUGGAGCAACGCCGCGUGUGUGAUGAAGGCUUUCGGGUCGUAAAGCACUGUUGUAUGGGAAGAACAGCUAGAAUAGGAAAUGAUUUUAGUUUGACGGUACCAUACCAGAAAGGGACGGCUAAAUACGUGCCAGCAGCCGCGGUAAUACGUAUGUCCCGAGCGUUAUCCGGAUUUAUUGGGCGUAAAGCGAGCGCAGACGGUUUAUUAAGUCUGAUGUGAAAGCCCGGAGCUCAACUCCGGAAUGGCAUUGGAAACUGGUUAACUUGAGUGCAGUAGAGGUAAGUGGAACUCCAUGUGUAGCGGUGGAAUGCGUAGAUAUAUGGAAGAACACCAGUGGCGAA
rnacentral:rRNA from 1 species